GCCGAACGCUGGCGGCGUGCUUAACACAUGCAAGUCGAACGAAGUGGAGAACGGGUGAGUAACGCGCAAUCAACCUGCCCUUCAGAGGGGGACAACAGUUGGAAACGACUGCUACUACACCAUACUUAAGGCGGGGAUUGCGUCUGAUUAGCUCGUUGGAGGGGUACCGGCCCACCAAGGCGAUGAACAGUAGCCGGGCUGAGAGGAUGAACGGCCACAUUGGGACUGAGACACGGCCCAGACUCCUACGGGAGGCAGCAGUGGGGAAUCUUCCGCAAUGGGCGAAAGCCUGACGGAGCAACGCCGCGUGAGUGAUGAAGGUCUUCGGAUCGUAAAACUCUGUUAUUAGGGAAGCGGUACCUAAUCAGAAAGCCACGGCUAACUACGUGCCAGCAGCCGCGGUAAUUC
rnacentral:rRNA from 1 species